UUAUGUAUCACAUUGAAUGCACCAGAUCUCGUCUGAUCACUGAAGUUAAGCAACGUCGAGCGUUGAUAGUACUUGGAUGGGUGACCCUUCGAUAAUAACACAAUACCUACC
rfam:Asian citrus Psyllid, Diaphorina citri - Florida Strain, whole genome shotgun sequence.